UUCCAGCCGAUUUCAGAAUGAGAGACACCUUAAAAAUCAGAAUUUCGUCAUAUUAGUAGGAAAAGCCUCCAGCUGACUCACCAGGAGGAAAAUUCAACAUCCCUUAUUCUAGAGAUUGCCCUUCAUCUCCUUCCAUGGACUCACCCAUGAUGAUUCCAGAAAACUAGCCAAAGACAUAGCUUAACGUUUUGUGGGGAAUACAAGACUUUCCUUCUCAAGUUCUACAUUACUAAGAAGCUCAGAUUCUAAGGUACAAAAGAGAGUGAGUGAUCUGGGAUGAUGAAGCUCCUAGAAUGUGUUUGCAACACAACCAAGGAACCACAGGUUUGGAAACCAAGGCUUGUAUAUGAGUUAAUAAUUUGUCUGACACUUGCCCCAAAGAAGACAUUUUCCUUAUUUUAUUAAACAGUAAACAAUCCUGUUUUCUGUUUCUGAAGGAAACAUUGUAGCUCCUUUCUAAGGCUGUCAAUUAUACAAAAAUCCUAUUGCAAAAUAUGCAAACA